AUUGAACGCUGGCGGCAUGCCUUACACAUGCAAGUCGAACGGCAGGCACGGGAGCAAUCCUGGUGGGCGAGUGGCGAACGGGUGAGUAAUAUAUCGGAACGUGCCCAGUCGUGGGGGAUAACGUAGCGAAAGCUACGCUAAUACCGCAUACGAUCUAUGGAUGAAAGCGGGGAUCGCAAGACCUCGCGCGAUUGGAGCGGCCGAUAUCAGAUUAGGUAGUUGGUGAGGUAAAGGCUCACCAAGCCGACGAUCUGUAGCUGGUCUGAGAGGACGACCCAGCCACACUGGGACUGAGACACGGCCCAGACUCCUACGGGAGGCAGCAGUGGGGAAUUUUGGACAAUGGGCGCAAGCCUGAUCCAGCAAUGCCGCGUGCAGGAUGAAGGCCUUCGGGUUGUAAACUGCUUUGUACGGAACGAAACGGUGAGCUCUAAUACAGUUUGCUAAUGACGGUACCGUAAGAAUAAGCACCGGCUAACUACGUG
rnacentral:rRNA from 1 species